rnacentral:rRNA from 1 species
ACGCUCGACACCUACGGGGGGCAGCAGUCGGGAAUAUUGCGCAAUGGAGGAAACUCUGACGCAGUGACGCCGCGUGCAGGAAGAAGGUUUUCGGAUUGUAAACUGCUUUAGACAGGGAAGAAAAAGGACAGUACCUGUAGAAUAAGCUCCGGCUAACUACGUGCCAGNCGCGNGUAUNGNGGCGGNGUGACGAGC